CUAAGACAUCAUUGUGAUGCCACUGCCAGAUUGCUGAGUUGAGUUGAGUUGAGUUGAGAAGCCUCUCACACCAAACCAAACCUUAUUCAAUUCUCUCUCUCUCUCUCUCAUAUCGAGAAUCCAACAGCAACAUGGCGGAAUCGUUUGAGCUUCCGAAUCGGUUAGCAAUCCUUCCUUUCAGGAACAAAGUCCUUUUGCCUGGCGCCAUCAUCCGAAUUCGCUGCACUUCCCCCAUCAGUGUAAAGUUGGUGGAACAAGAACUUUGGCAGCGAGAAGAGAAGGGGUUGAUUGGCAUCUUACCAGUACGUGAUGCUGCUGCUGAAAUUCAGCCCGCGGGUCCAGUUAUAUCUCACGGCAAAGGUACCGAUUCUCUAGACCAAAACUCAAAAGUUCAAGGUGGUUCAUCAGAUUCUCAAAAGCUUGAUGUGAAAAAUCAGCAUGAUGUUGUUCAUUGGCAUAACAGGGGGGUAGCUGCUCGAGCACUACACUUAUCAAGGGGAGUGGAGAAACCUAGUGGGAGAGUCACAUAUAUUGUUGUUCUUGAAGGUCUGUGCAGAUUUAGUGUCCAGGAACUAAGCACGAGAGGAACAUACCAUACUGCAAGGAUAUCAUCCCUGGAGAUGACUAAGACUGAGAUGGAACAGGUGGAACAAGACCCAGAUUUCAUAACAUUAUCUCGCCAAUUUAAAGCAACUGCCAUGGAGCUUAUUUCUGUUCUGGAGCAGAAACAAAAAACUGGUGGAAGGACGAAAGUUCUUUUGGAGACUGUUCCAGUUCACAAGUUGGCUGAUAUAUUUGUUGCUAGCUUUGAGAUAAGUUUUGAAGAGCAGCUAUCAAUGUUGGAUUCAGUUGACCCUAAAGUGAGGCUUUCAAAAGCAACAGAAUUGGUUGAUAGGCACUUACAGUCAAUACUUGUAGCUGAGAAAAUUACACAAAAGGUUGAAGGACAAUUGUCAAAAUCUCAAAAAGAAUUUCUUCUUCGACAGCAGAUGAGAGCUAUAAAAGAGGAACUUGGUGAUAAUGAUGAUGACGAGGAUGACCUGGCUGCCCUGGAAAGAAAGAUGCAAAAGGCAGGAAUGCCACAGAAUAUCUGGAAGCAUGCUCACAAAGAAUUAAGGAGACUCAAAAAAAUGCAGCCUCAGCAACCAGGGUAUAACAGUUCACGGGCUUACCUGGAUCUUCUUGCUGAUUUGCCAUGGCAGAAGGCUAGCAAAGAGCUUGAACUGGACUUAAGGGCUGCACAGGAGCGCCUGGACACUGAUCACUAUGGUUUAGUGAAGGUCAAGCAACGGAUAAUUGAAUACCUGGCUGUUCGCAAGCUUAAGCCAGAUGCAAGGGGUCCAGUAUUGUGCUUUGUUGGACCACCAGGUGUUGGAAAGACAUCACUGGCAUCCUCUAUUGCUGCUGCUUUGGGCAGAAAAUUUGUGCGCAUAUCCCUUGGUGGAGUCAAGGAUGAGGCUGAUAUUAGAGGGCAUAGGAGAACAUACAUUGGAAGCAUGCCUGGGAGGCUUAUAGAUGGACUGAAGGGUCUGAGAUUUAGACUGAUAGUUGCUUUUGUAUUUGAACUAAAGAGAGUAGCUGUUUGCAAUCCUGUCAUGUUGAUUGAUGAAAUUGACAAGACAGGGUCCGAUGUUCGUGGAGAUCCAGCUUCUGCAUUGCUAGAGGUUCUUGAUCCGGAACAAAACAAAGCAUUCAAUGAUCAUUAUUUGAAUGUUCCAUUUGAUCUAUCCAAGGUAAUUUUUGUGGCUACAGCAAAUAGAGCACAACCUAUUCCUCCACCUCUCCUUGACAGGAUGGAGGUCAUUGAGCUUCCUGGAUAUACUGCUGAGGAAAAGCUCAAAAUAGCGAUGCAACAUUUGAUUCCAAGAGUUUUGGAGCAGCAUGGGUUGAGUUCUGAGUUUCUUCAGAUUCCAGAGGGGAUGGUGCAACUGGUUAUUCAGAGAUAUACUAGGGAAGCUGGUGUGCGCAAUUUGGAAAGGAAUCUAGCUGCCCUUGCUCGUGCUGCUGCAGUGAGAGUAGCAGAGCAAGAACAAGUAGUUCCACUAAACAAAGGGGUAGAGGGACUUUCCACCCCACUUCUGGAAAACAGACUUUCUGAUGGUGCUGAAGUUGAAAUGGAAGUGAUACCUAUGGGUGUCAACAAUCGUGACAUUUCAAACACAUUCAGGAUCACCUCUCCAUUGGUUGUUGAUGAAGCUAUGCUUGAAAAAGUGCUUGGGCCUCCAAAAUUUGAUGGAAGAGAAGCUGAGGAUCGUGUUGCUACCCCUGGGGCAUCUGUUGGGCUUGUUUGGACUACUUUUGGAGGAGAAGUUCAAUUUGUGGAGGCUACAGCAAUGGUAGGGAAGGGUGAAUUGCAUCUUACUGGACAACUGGGUGAUGUAAUCAAAGAAUCAGCUCAGAUAGCACUAACAUGGGUAAGGGCAAGAGCAACUGAACUUAGGCUAGCUGCUGCAGAAGGCAUUAAUCUGUUGGAGGGCCGUGAUAUACAUAUACAUUUUCCUGCAGGUGCUGUACCCAAAGAUGGGCCUUCGGCUGGUGUGACUUUGGUAACAGCAUUGGUAUCACUUUUCAGUCAGAGAAGAGUGAGAUCGGAUACAGCUAUGACUGGGGAGAUGACAUUGAGGGGUCUUGUACUACCUGUUGGCGGUAUCAAGGAUAAGAUAUUAGCAGCACAUCGAUGUGGUAUUAAGAGAGUCAUCCUGCCUGAAAGGAACCUGAAGGACUUGGUUGAAGUACCAUCAUCAGUACUGGCCGAUUUGGAGAUACUGCUUGCAAAACGUAUGGAAGACGUGCUAGAGCAAGCUUUUGACGGUGGGUGCCCUUGGAGACAACACUCAAAGUUGUAAUAGCAUCCUUGACUUGCACGUUAUGUGGCAAUCCCCGGUGGCUUAUGUAUUCAUUUAAAUCCUGAUCUAUGCUAUUGCAACAUUGUUGGUGAGUGAGUACUUAUCUCUUCAACUUCUUGUGAUUGAGCACAACUCUAGAAACCGACAGUUUUGGAAAGGAGCUGGCAUCUGCAUAUAUUCUUGAGACUCCACUCUCCAUAAUCUUUUGUGCUUGCUGCUCGUGAUGAUGUUCUGUAUUGGGUUCGAUCUGUUGCUUAUGAAAUUGGUUUUGUAGCAGCGAUUAUGAGAUCAGACAAAAAUAGUGGUAUUAGAGGAAGGACCUCAUUUGUUUUAACUGGUUAUUAAAGGAGUGGUCAGUAUAGGGUCAAGAAGAAAGAUUUGGUAAGAACAAUUAUUAACAGUAGAAAAUAUGGGUGUCCCUUUAAGUUGCGUCCGAAAUCAGUGGUAAUUUGGUAUUUUUUUAUAAAUAGUACCUAUAAAACAAACAGGUAUGGGCUGGCGUUACUUGAUAUUGUUGAUGUGACACCAACAGGGAUGACAUUCUCUGUUGUUUUUGCCUAUUUGGAGGGAGAACAUCUAAAUAAUGUUGUCUGGGCUUUACAAUGGUUUCGAGGUCUUUUUCUCAGAUGUGAUGCACUCUCUGGAGUUAUUAUUAUCGAUAGAGAUCUAGUAUUGAUAAAUGCAGUGAAAAUUGUAUUCCCUGAGGCUACCAAUUUGUUGUGUCGGUUUCACAUUGAUAAGAAUGUCAAUGCAAAGUGUAAAACCCUGGUUGGUCAAAAAAAUGCAUGGGAUUAUGUCAUGGAAGCCUAAGGGAGUUAGGUGGAUUGUCCUUCUAAGCAAAAGUUCAAUGAGUGUCUGAAGAAGUUUAAAAUUGUUUGCUCACCAUGGUCAAUGUUUGUUGAUCAUGUCAACCAAACAUGAUUGAUUCCCCACAAAGAAAGAUUUGUUAAAGUUUGGACGAAUAAGGUGAUGCACUUAGGAAACACAACUAACAUGUAUGAAAAUUAUAAAUUUCUGUUGUUGUUAGGGUUUAUGAUUGAAUGGAUAAAAAUAAUUGUGUUUGUUUACUUGAUUGUUUCUUUCAUAUGCAAGGUUGAGUUUGCUCA